rnacentral:tRNA from 1 species
UGAGGGGUGGUGUAAUCGGCAACACGCCUGACUUUGAAUCAGGAAUUACAGGAUCAUCGCCUGUCCCCUCAUCCA